UCUGUGAGCGCUGCACAUAGAGUCAUAAAGGAAGUAAGGAUGAAGGGAUAAGGAAAGAGAUUGAUAUUUUGUGACUAUACUUGACUGGUUGUGCAUCUACCAGUCUACCUGUCCGUUUACUAGAGCUUCCUUGUAUUCCAUCUGUCUACCUAUUCUUCCCUCUAUAUAUUACAUUUCUUUCCCUCUCUAGAUAUAAUGAAAAAAGGGGAUAAAGGAGAAUAUGGAAAAUUAAAAUGAUGAAAGUCUGGCUAAGUAACGUCAUCAAACCAAAAAGUGAUGAAUUAGUCUAAGAAAGAAUAUAGUUACGCAUUCAGUUCGAUUUGAAUAAUUGGGCCGAGAGGCGUUAAUUAGGUAUGGCUAGGUAAGAAAGAGUAUAGUUACGCAUUCAGUUCGAUUUGAAUAAUUAUGCUGAGGGGUGUUAAUUAGGUAUGGCUAGGUAAGAAAGAGUAUAGUUACGCAUUCAGUUCGAUUUAAAUAACUGUGUUGAGAGGUGUUAAUUAGGUAUGGCUAGGUAAGAAAGAGUAUAGUUACGCAUUCAGUUCGAUUUAAAUAACUGUGUUGAGAGGCGUUAAUUAGGUAUGGCUAGGUAAGAAAGAGUAUAGUUACGCAUUCAGUUCGAUUUGAAUAAUUAUGCUGAGGGGUGUUAAUUAGGUAUGGCUAGGU